rnacentral:rRNA from 1 species
UCAAGCUACAAAGAGCGUAAGGGGAAUGCCUUGGCACCAGGAGCCGACGAAGGACGCAGCGAUCUGCGAAAAGCCACGGGGAGCCGAAAGCAGGCUUUGAUCCGUGGAUAUCCGAAUGGGGAAACCCGCAUGGUUAAUAGCCAUGCGACGUAUACUGAAUAAAUAGGUAUGCGUCGGGAACCGUCUGAACUGAAACAUCUAAGUAGGACGAGGAAAAGAAAUCAACCGAGAUUCCGUAAGUAGUGGCGAGCGAACACGGAAGAGGCCAAACCGAAGGUAGCAAUAUCUUCGGGGUACGGACAGUAAACGGCAUUGCGGUAUCUUAGCAGAAGUGCAUGGGACGGCACACCAUAGAGAGUGAUAGUCUCGUAAGCGAAAAGAGAAGGCAGCCAACUGUAUCCAGAGUACCGCCGGACACGUGAAACCCGGUGGGAACAUGGGGGGACCAUCCUCCAAGCCUAAAUACUCCCUGGUGACCGAUAGAGAACAGUACUGUGAAGGAAAGGUGAAAAGAACCCCGGGAGGGGAGUGAAAAGAACCUGAAACCUUAUGCUUACAAGCACCGAGAGCCCAUCAAAGGGUGAUCGGGUACCUUUUGUAGAAUGGUCCGGCGAGUGAAUGUAACUGGCAAGGUUAAGCACUUAAGGUGUGGAGCCGAAGCGAAAGCAAGUCUUAAUAGGGCGUCAAGUCAGUUGUAUUCGACCCGAAACCGUGUGACCUAGCCAUGAGCAGGCUGAAGUGGAGGUAAAACUCCAUGGAGGGCCGAACCCACUCCCGUUGAAAUGGUAGGGGAUGACUUGUGGCUAGCGGAGAAAUUCCAAUCGAACUCGGAGAUAGCUGGUUCUCUCCGAAAUAGCUUUAGGGCUAGCCUCGAUUUGACAUUACCGGAGGUAAAGCACUGAAUGGGCUAGGGGCCGAGAGGUUACUGAACCCUAUCAAACUAAGAAUGCCGGAUAAUGAUAAUCGGGAGUCAGACAGUGUGAGAUAAGUUUCAUUGUCAAAAGGGAAACAGCCCAGACCCACAGCUAAGGUCCCAAAGUACAGUUAAGUGGUGAAGGAUGUGGAAUUGCAUAGACAACCAGGAUGUUGGCUUAGAAGCAGCCACUCAUUAAAAGAGUGCGUAAUAGCUCACUGGUCGAGUGAUUCUGCGCCGAAAAUUUAACGGGGCUAAAUUGUACACCGAAGCUUGGGAUACAUCUAAUGUAUGGUAGGAGAGCGUUGUAUACGGGGUGAAGUCAGAGCGGAAGCGCUGGUGGACUGUAUACAAGUGAGAAUGCCGGAAUGAGUAGCGAGAAUUAUGUGAGAAUCAUAAUGGCCGAAAGACUAAGGUUUUAGAAGGAAGGUUCGUCCGCUUCUAGUCAGCCGGGAGCUAAGGCGAGGCCGAAAGGCGUAGUCGAUGCACAUACGGUGGAGAUUCCGUAGCCGCCAUUAAUUUAAACAGAGGGACACUUUCAAGGGGCAUGACCCGGGCGUUGGUAGACCCGGGCGUAAGGGACCGAAGAUUAGUAGGGAAGCAUGCUUUAAGGAAGGCGAGAAAAGCUCUGUGUAUAGAAGAUGGCGCCCGUACCGCAAACCGACACAGGUAGUCAGGAAGAGAAUUCUAAGGCCAACGGGAGAAGGGUAGUUAAGGAACUCGGCAAAUUGACCCCGUAACUUCGGAAUAAGGGGUGCUCACGAGAGUGAGCCGCAGUGAAUAGGUCCAGGCGACUGUUUAUCAAAAACACAGCUCUCUGCUAAAUCGAAAGAUGACGUAUAGGGGGUGACACCUGCCCGGUGCUGGAAGGUUAAGAGGAAGGGUGCAAGCUCUGAAUUGAAGCCCCAGUAAACGGCGGCCGUAACUAUAACGGUCCUAAGGUAGCGAAAUUCCUUGUCGGGUAAGUUCCGACCCGCACGAAUGGUGUAACGAUCUGGGCACUGUCUCAACUACCCACCCGGCGAAAUUGUAGUACCGGUGAAGAUGCCGGUUACCCGCGGCAAGACGGAAAGACCCCAUGGAGCUUUACUGUAACCUGAUAUUGGGUUUCGGUAUUUUAUGUACAGGAUAGGUGGGAGACUAUGAAACUAAGGCGCCAGCCUUAGCGGAGUCGCCCUUGGGAUACCACUCUUAAAGUACUGAAAUUCUAACCUGCGGCCGUGAAUCCGGUCGGGGGACAUUGUCAGGCGGGCAGUUUGACUGGGGCGGUCGCCUCCAAAAGAGUAACGGAGGCGCUCAAAGGU